CUCCUCCUUGCCUUCCACCAUGAUUGUGAGGCCUCCCCAACCAUGUGGAACUGUAAGUCCAUUAAACCUCUUUUUCUUCCCAGUCUCAGGUAUGUCUUUAUCAGCAGCGUGAAAAUGGACUAAUACACUUGGCUUCCUUCUGCAAAGCUACCUCACUGUCUGACCUGACGUGGCAUGUGGCCUGUCUCUGAACCCAGCUUUCAGGCCCCAGACUUAGAAAUUACCUCCAUCUUCACCUCCACCUGAGGACAUCAAAUUCACUCCUGUAGCCAGGUCUGCUCCACCACCUAUCACUCCCCAGGAUGGAGGGAGAGUGCAGGGGGAGAGCAGGAAGUUUGAGGCAAUGGCCUCAGUGAAGUAUUUUAUUGAGGAUUUUUGCAUCAAUGUUCAUCAAGGAUAUUGGUCUAAAAUUCUCUUUUUUGGUUGUGUCUCUGCCUGGCUUUGGUAUCAGAAUGAUGCUGGCCUCAUAAAAUGAGUUAGGGAGGAUUCCCUCUUUUUCUAUUGAUCAAAAAAAAAAACAAAACAAAACAAAAAGAUGUCACAAAGAAGACAAUGCUUGUCUACAAAGAAGUGACAUUAUCAAAAAAUGGCAAAGUGAGAACUUCCAAAAAUUCUUUCUUCCAUAAAAGCAAUGAGAACACUGGCAGA
rnacentral:lncRNA from 10 species